rnacentral:rRNA from 1 species
GACGAACGCUGGCGGCGUGCUUAACACAUGCAAGUCGAGCGGAGCUGCGAAAGGGUGAGUAACUCGUGAAUAACUGCCCCCCUCUCUGGGGUAACAGUUGGAAACGGCUGCUAAUACCGGAUAGUGGGGGAUGACUGGCGGCCUAUCAGCUUGUUGGUGGGGUAGUGGCCUACCAAGGCGACGCCGGGUAGCCGGCCUGAGAGGGCGACCGGCCACAUGGGGCUGCGAGACGGCCCAAAGUACUACAGGACGCGACAGUGGGGAAUAUUGUACAAUGGGGGAAACCCUGCGGCAGCAACCCGCGGGCGGGAUGACGGCUUUCGGGUUGUAAAGCGCUUUCAGCAUAGACUCGGUAGAUGGAGAAGAAGCACCGGCUAACUACGUGCCAGCAGCCGCGGUAAUUC